rnacentral:lncRNA from 1 species
CCACAGUUUCACGACCAGGAUUCCCUUCAACUCCACCAGUCACCACAAAAUACUGCUUCAACUUAUCAUCAUACUCCCCUAUUUUCCAUAUAGUUUCUCUAGCACAUAUAGUUGGUGUAUAAAACCUGACAUUAACAUCAGUGGAUACACGUACGACGCCUUUUUUGGCGUCGACACGUGUAAACACAACAGGCAAUCCUUGUUGUACCUCGUUGGCUUCUUGAAUAAUGUCCCUAGGACAAGUGUUGGUUUGUUUGACGUUAGAUGGAUAGAGCCCCCCUCCUCUUCCGCGAAUCACUGGUAAGAUGA